AUGAACGCUAGCGACAGGCUUAACACAUGCAAGUCGAGGGGCAGCGGGGGUAGCAAUACCCGCCGGCGACCGGCGCACGGGUGAGUAACGCGUAUGCAACUUACCUAUCAGAGGGGGAUAACCCGGCGAAAGUCGGACUAAUACCGCAUGAAGCAGGGGCCCCGCAUGGGGAUAUUUGCUAAAGAUUCAUCGCUGAUAGAUAGGCAUGCGUUCCAUUAGGCAGUUGGCGGGGUAACGGCCCACCAAACCGACGAUGGAUAGGGGUUCUGAGAGGAAGGUCCCCCACAUUGGUACUGAGACACGGACCAAACUCCUACGGGAGGCAGCAGUGAGGAAUAUUGGUCAAUGGCCGAGAGGCUGAACCAGCCAAGUCGCGUGAGGGAUGAAGGUUCUAUGGAUCGUAAACCUCUUUUAUAAGGGAAUAAAGUGCGGGACGUGUCCCGUUUUGUAUGUACCUUAUGAAUAAGGAUCGGCUAACUCCGUGCCAGCAGCCGCGGUAAUACGGAGGAUCCGAGCGUUAUCCGGAUUUAUUGGGUUUAAAGGGUGCGUAGGCGGCCUUUUAAGUCAGCGGUGAAAGUCUGUGGCUCAACCAUAGAAUUGCCGUUGAAACUGGGGGGCUUGAGUAUGUUUGAGGCAGGCGGAAUGCGUGGUGUAGCGGUGAAAUGCAUAGAUAUCACGCAGAACCCCGAUUGCGAAGGCAGCCUGCCAAGCCAUUACUGACGCUGAUGCACGAAAGCGUGGGGAUCAAACAGGAUUAGAUACCCUGGUAGUCCACGCAGUAAACGAUGAUCACUAGCUGUUUGCGAUACACUGUAAGCGGCACAGCGAAAGCGUUAAGUGAUCCACCUGGGGAGUACGCCGGCAACGGUGAAACUCAAAGGAAUUGACGGGGGCCCGCACAAGCGGAGGAACAUGUGGUUUAAUUCGAUGAUACGCGAGGAACCUUACCCGGGUUUGAACGCAUUCGGACCGAGGUGGAAACACCUUUUCUAGCAAUAGCCGUUUGCGAGGUGCUGCAUGGUUGUCGUCAGCUCGUGCCGUGAGGUGUCGGCUUAAGUGCCAUAACGAGCGCAACCCUUGCCACUAGUUACUAACAGGUAAAGCUGAGGACUCUGGUGGGACUGCCAGCGUAAGCUGCGAGGAAGGCGGGGAUGACGUCAAAUCAGCACGGCCCUUACAUCCGGGGCGACACACGUGUUACAAUGGCGUGGACAAAGGGAGGCCACCUGGCGACAGGGAGCGAAUCCCCAAACCACGUCUCAGUUCGGAUCGGAGUCUGCAACCCGACUCCGUGAAGCUGGAUUCGCUAGUAAUCGCGCAUCAGCCAUGGCGCGGUGAAUACGUUCCCGGGCCUUGUACACACCGCCCGUCAAGCCAUGGGAGCCGGGGGUACCUGAAGUCCGUAACCGCGAGGAUCGGCCUAGGGUAAAACUGGUGACUGGGGCU
rnacentral:rRNA from 1 species